ensembl:lncRNA LINC01115 long intergenic non-protein coding RNA 1115
GGCAGUGUAUUUACAUGGAAAUUGGAUCGAGGCACUGACGUUUAAAUCUUGGCUCCUGCUCCUGCCGUCUAGACAAAGGGCGCACCCAUUGCCGUCUCAGACACCAGAGGCUCCCACUUGACCAGGGGAAGCUGUUCAUGUUCUAUCCUGCGUGUUCUCGAGAAAGUUUUGAUGACAGAAAACAUCACACAGAAAGGGGAAGGCAUCGCAAGUUUCCAGCUCCAUGGAUUUUUGCAAACUGAGCACAUUUGUGGGCCAGGAGUGGGGCCCACAGCGAGAAUAUCCUUCCUGCUGCUCCUGCCAUCCAUCCACCAGCACAGCCAGUUCCCAGCUGUGGAACACACAGGUUCAAAAUGGGUCAUAAAGUAGCUGAGAUGACUUGAAACAUCAACGAUGCAUUUGGCCUCGGAGCUGCUAACGAACGUAGAGUGCAGUGGUGGUUCAAGAGGUUUUGCAAAAUGAUGAGGGCCUUGAAGAUGAAGAGCGUAGUGACAGGCCAUCGGAAGUUGACAAUGACCAAUUGAGAGCAAUUAUCAAGCUGAUCCUCUUACAACCACACAAGAAGCUGCCAAAGAACUCAGCGUCGGCCAUUCUAUGGUCGUUUGGCAUUUGAAGCAAACUGGAAAGGUGGAAAGCUUAAUAAGUGGGUGCCUCGCGAGCUGAGUGAAAUUUUUUUUAAAAAUUGUCAUUUUGAAGUGUCUUCUCAUUCUACACAACAACGAACCGUUUCUCAAUCAGACUGUGACGUGCGACAAAAAGUGGAUUUUAUACAACAACCCGUGAUGACCAGCUCAGUGGUUGGACUGAGAAGAAGCUCCAAAGCACUUCCCAAAGCCAAACUUGCACCAAAAAAGGUCCUGGUCACUGGUGGUCUGUGCCCGUCUGAUCCACUACCGUUCUGAAUCCAAGUGCAGCCAUUACACCUGAGAAGCAUGCUCAAAAAACCAAUGAGAUGCACGAGAAACUGCAAUGCCUGCAGCUGGCAUUGGUCAAUAAAAAGGACCCAACUCUUCUCCACCACAAUGCCUGACCACACGUCUCACAACCAACACUUCAAAAGUUGAAUGAAUUGGGCUACAAAUUUUGCCUCAUCUGCCAUAUUCACCUGACCUCUUGCCAGCCGACUACCACUUCUUCGAGCAUCUUGACAACUUUUUGCAGGGAAAACACUUCCACACCCAACAGGAUGCAGAAAAUGUUUUCCAAGAGCUCGUCAAAUCCUGAAGCAUGGAUUUUUAUGCUAUGGGAAUAAACAAACUUAUUUCUCCUUGGCAAAAAA